rnacentral:rRNA from 1 species
CAGUAGCGUAUAUUAAUGUUGUUGCAGUUAAAAAGCUCGUAGUUGGAUUUCUAGCAGACAUGCGUGGUCCGGCCCUCUUUGAGGCGCUGAGUAUCGCUGUGUGUCUGUUAUCUUACUAGUUUCAGAUCCUCUGGGUCUUGACUGGUUCUUUUACUUUGAAAAAAUUAGAGUGUUUAAAGCAGGCUUGCGCAAUGAAUACAUUAGCAUGGAAUAAUAACAUAAGACUUUGGUUUUAUUUUGUUGGUUCAUAGCACUAGAGUAAUGAUUGAUAGGGAUAGUUGGGGGUGCUAGUAUUGAGCGGCCAGAGGUGAAAUUCGGGGAUUCGCUCAAGACUAACUUAUGCGAAAGCAUUCACCAAGGAUGUCUUCUUUAAUCAAGAACGAAAGUUGGGGGAUCGAAGACGAUCAGAUACCAU